rnacentral:rRNA from 1 species
GACGAACGCUGGCGGCGUGCUUAACACAUGCAAGUCGAACGGAAAGGCCCUGCUUGCAGGGUGCUCGAGUGGCGAACGGGUGAGUAACACGUGGGUGAUCUGCCCCUUACUUUGGGAUAAGCCUGGGAAACUGGGUCUAAUACUGGAUAGGACCAUGCUGUAGGUGGUGUGGUGGAAAGAUUAGUUUCGGUAAGGGAUGAGCUCGCGGCCUAUCAGCUUGUUGGUGGGGUAAUGGCCUACCAAGGCGUCGACGGGUAGCCGGCCUGCGAGGGUGGACGGCCACAUUGGGAAUGCGUAACGGAGCAGACUGCUACGGGAGGCAGCAGUGGGGAAUAAUGUACAAUGGGCGCAAGCGCGAUGCAGAGACGGCGCGUGGGGGAUGAAGGCCUUCGGGUUGGAAACGACUAUCAGCGAUGACGAAGCCCCUGUGGUGACGGUAGUGGUAGAAGAAGGACCGGCUAACUACGUG